rnacentral:piRNA from 1 species
UGAAUUUAAAAGAUUUGGCCUCUCC